UGUUUGCUGCUCUCCUCUUCCCUGUUCCACACACUCCUCCCUGUCAGCACAGCAGCUCUCCUGGCUGUCUUUAUGGAUGCUGUCUUUUAUCAUGGCAUCUUGAAAGCCAGAUUCAUAUUUGGAAGCAAAGUCUUGGCCAAAUUCCGCAAUGUAAAACAGAUACCAUUUUCAGUGAAUUUCAUUGGCAAACUUUAACAGACCUCUACAAUUUUUUUAAACAUGCAUAAGGCAAUUUUGGGAAGUGAGAAAAUGAGGAAAAAAAAUGAGGACAGCAAAAGAUAUAAUCUGCUGGAUGAUGGAAGGUGUUCCCAAAUUAGCAUUAGUACAAACACAUACUGUGAGCAGUCCCAUCUCUCAAGAUGCACUUGUAGCCAGGCACCUCACACAGCCCUGCUUCUUUCAGGCUCAGACUGCUUCCAGACAUCCAGUGGAACUCAAACCCACUGCCACGAAGCAGGAAAAGUGGAAUUCCUCAGACUUGGGGUCAUGAACUGAGCCUCAUCAAAAUGAAUCCCAGAAGCAGAAAGUCUUGAUCUUAUGCCAUUAUCUAAUAAAUGUAUUUUUAAACCUA